UACGUAGGGCGCAAGCGUUAUCCGGAAUUAUUGGGCGUAAAGAGCUCGUAGGCGGUUUGUCGCGUCUGCCGUGAAAGUCCGGGGCUCAACUCCGGAUCUGCGGUGGGUACGGGCAGACUAGAGUGAUGUAGGGGAGACUGGAAUUCCUGGUGUAGUGGUGAAAUGCGCAGAUAUCAGGAGGAACACCGGUGGCGAAGGCGGGUCUCUGGGCAGUAACUGACGCUGAGGAGCGAAAGCGUGGGGAGCGAACAGG
rnacentral:rRNA from 1 species